rnacentral:misc_RNA from 1 species
AUUAAAUUGUGUACACGGGAUUACGAUGGCCACUGUUUUGGAGGAUCCAUCCUUAGAGCGGCAUUUCAAGGGACACAGAGAUACAGUAUGCAGUCUCGACUUCAAUCCCAACAUGAAGCAGCUUGCUUCUGUGUCCAUGGACUCUUGCCUAAUGGUUUGGAAUUUCAAACCACAGAUGCGUGCAUACAGAUUUGUUGGACACAAGGAUGCAGUAAUGGACGUCAAGUUUUCACCCUCGGGACACCUGGUAGCUUCAGCAUCACGAGAUAAAACAGUCCGGCUCUGGAUUCCUACAGUAAAAGGAGAGUCCACAGUAUUCAAGGCCCACACUGCAACUGUAAGAAGUGUAGACUUUACUUAUGAUGGACAGACGUUAAUUACUGCUUCUGAUGACAAAACAAUUAAGUUGUGGACUUGUCACAGGCAAAAAUUUCUGUAUUCCCUAAAUCAACACAGCAACUGGGUCCGGAGUGCCAAAUUUUCACCUGAUGGCCGUUUGAUUGUGUCGGGUAGUGAUGAUAAAACUGUGAAAAUCUGGGACAGGAACAGCAAAGAGUGUAUCCACACAUUCUAUGAACACGGAGGGUAAAGAUAGAGUUUUAUAAACACAUUCAGAUGGGAAAUUCCAUGCCUAUCUCUGCAUCUAUGAUUGAUAACAUUCGCUCUUUUCUUUUUAUCAUUUUGUACAUUACAUGUAUGAAUUUGAAUUGUUAAAAGGAAUGUGUGUAAUGUUAUACAGUUUGAUGUUAUAAUGAAUGCAGCCUGUUUUUAAAAUAUUUACAUUUGCAAAUAUGUUUCCUUUUACAUGUAUAAACCAAUAGAAAAGCGAAAAUGUUUCAAUUCUGUAUGAACUUUUUUAUGACAUCUCAGUGAUCAUAGCACGUGCUUGUCGCUUGGGUUAUUGUAAACAUAAAAUCUUGGUAAUUUUAACACUGCUGAACAAUUUGCCCUUUUAAAAUGUAAAUAUAAGUAAUAAACAGCACUGUUAAAAAGUUCAUAUCCAGGACGACUUUUUAACUUGCUGCUUAUUUCUUAAGUAAGGUAUCACAGACUUUGUUCACAGCGAAAUGAUUUUCAUGAUGACUUUCUUGUGACUUACUUAUUCCCCUUUUUACGUGUUUAGGUUUGUAAAUCAUGUAGAAUUUCACCCCAGUGGAACCUGUAUCGCCUCAGCGGGAACUGACAGCACGGUCAAAGUGUGGGACAUUAGGAUGAACAAAUUAUUACAACAUUACACAGCCCAUAGUGCAGCAGUCAACAGCCUGUCCUUCCAUGCCAGUGGUAACUACCUGAUCUCUGGAUCAGACGACUCAACGCUCAAGGUGUUUGACUUGUUAGAGGGAAGGUUGUUUUAUACUCUCCAUGGACAUCAGGGACCAUGUACAGCAGUGGCCUUUUCCAAGUCUGGUGAAUAUUUUGCCUCAGGAGGAUCAGAUGAACAGGUGCUGGUCUGGAAGACAAACUUUGAUCAGCUGGAUUUCUCAGAGGUUCUCCAGUCUCACAAAAACCGACAGGAAGAGCCGACGCCCUCAGAACCCACCGUCUCUGACAUCCCACCCAGGGUCACACGGAAACCGACCAAACCAAAGUCUCCCCGAGGGUAUGACGCGAGAACGGAGCUUAAAAACAUGGAUGAUGAAUCAGUUCCCGUUACGGAUGUGGGGCCUGCUAUGUUUUCAUCAGAGCAGAAUGGUGUUACCUUUGAAAUGGAUAUGAUGGGAUCAGAGCCAGAGCCCACAAUACGCACCACAAAGGACCGCCCAGCUACCACCCAGCAAUUGGAACCACAAUCCUUACCCCCGCAGCUUGGAAAAACCCUGGAGCAGAUAGUGGGACAACUGGAUGUACUAACACAGACUGUUUCCUUAUUGGAGCAAAGAUUGACAAUGACUGAAAAUAAACUUCGAGAGUGUCUUGACAACCAGCAAAGAUUGACACUUCAGGUCCGCCCCUCCGACUGAUUGCAGCUCAUCGAAGACCUGGUCAUCCAUGGUCCUCUUUUAUUUAUUUAGUUUACAGAAAGAAACGCUUAUCUCAAGUGCAUGAAUGAACAAUUUAUUGGAGAAGAACAUUAAAGAUGGCCAGUUGUGAUCGGAGAAUCAAUUUUUCUUUACUUGUUGCCAACAUUAACUCUCUUUGCAUUUAUCUAUAAAUGCUUAUAUUUUGAGUUGAAAAAUGAUGACAAAGCUUGUAUGAGGAAUUUUAUGUUACUCGCAUUAAAUGAAUUUCAUUAAAAAGAUCUGAUGAACAUGUAAACACUUUAGAAGAAUUCCGUCCAUUUGAAUCUCUGUUGUUCGUACGACUUUUUAAUUUGGAUAUUUUUAAAAAUACCCAGUAUUUGAUAUUUGUUUUAUUUUUAAUUUUUAAUUUUCAAUAUGAUAAAAGCUCAGUUAAUUUUUCUCCUCAUUUGCUCAUUAAUUUUACUGAAUGUAAUACAUAAGAGUACAUUUAUAUCAAAUGUCAAAUUGAUAUUAACAUUGUACAUGUACAGCAAUAAAAUGCUUUUAUCACAAGAUAAAUGCCUGUCAUUAUAAAUACUGACAUUUAUAGGUAAUACAUAAUUUACAAACAAUUUUUAAGUCUUACUAAAAAUUUUAAUAUUUUGUUAUUAAAAUUUUGUUUUUAGUUCUUUAAUUGUAAUAGACUAAAAAGUUUAAUUGUUUUGACAAUUUGCAGGAUGUCACAGAGCCAUUCAUAUACUUUAUACAUCAAAACCAAGCAAAUCUUUUUAGAAUAAGACAAAGAUUUUGUCAGUUCUUCAAGUUCUCUACAUAUUCAUGUAUAGCGGAACACACGAGAUUGGUUGUCAAUUCACAGAUAAUAGAAAAUGUAACAAGAACUUUUGUAUGUAGUUAUGUUGAUAUUUAUUAAUUUGUAAAUAAAGAUAUAUGCAAUU